CCUACGGGUGGCAGCAGUGAGGAAUAUUGGUCAAUGGGCGAGAGCCUGAACCAGCCAAGUCGCGUGAAGGAUGACGGCCCUACGGGUUGUAAACUUCUUUUGUCAGGGAGCAAUAGGGUCCACGCGUGGGCUUAGCGAGAGUACCUGAAGUAAAAGCAUCGGCUAACUCCGUGCCAGCAGCCCCGGUAAUACGGGGGUUGCGAGCGUAAUCCGGUUUUAUUGGGUUUAAAGGGUCCGUAGGCGGAAUAUCAAGUCAGCGGUAAAAGUUCGGGGCUCAACCCCGCCGUGCCGUUGAAACUGGUGUUCUUGAGUGGACGAGAGGUGUGCGGAAUGCGAGGUGUAGCGGUGAAAUGCAUAGAUAUCACGAAGAACUCCGAUUGCGAAGGCAGCUUACCGGCGUCCAACUGACGCUGAGGCACGAAAGCGUGGGUAUCGAACAGGAUUAGAUACCCCUGUAGUC
rnacentral:rRNA from 1 species